CUCCUAGACACAUUUAAGGGCUGACUGCCACUAGGGAAGGGUCUUUUUCUAGAGAUCUCUCCCUGGUGGAGCUUUCCCCUGCAAACCUAGAAUCUGCUGAUACAGGAUCCCUCAGAGUUCUUGCUAACCAACCAGUGCUGAUGAGGGCACAGGGACUGAACAGCUGCAAGCUCAUCAGCUAUUUCCCAUCCUGACCUGCAUGUGACCAGCAGGAAAUGGAGCUAUGGGCCUGGUUCUAUUUUAUGCAUUUUGAGUUAUGUAAUGGAGAGGAGCUACACUGAUACAGUGAGAACUAAAUCUUUGAAGGCCAUAAAAAUGGCAAUCUGGAGGAAAAAAAAAAAGUAAAA